GUGGGCGAGUUUGGGGCCUGCGACAAACGGUGCCAGUCCUUAAGUCAUCCCCCCUGCACGGCACAGCGUCUGUGAGUGGCCAUUUGCUGAGAUACGAUUGCCACACCCAUGACUUCCUGCCAGCCAUCUGGGUCUCUCUGUUCCACCGUUCAUUACCUAAUGUUCCCCUCUCAAGCUGGAUCCAAAUAAAGUGUGUGCAGAUUUCAGCUCCAGAAGUCGUUCCAUCCCCUUGAUCAUCUUGUUGCCCUUCGCUGAACUUCUUCCAGUUCCACUAUGUCCUUUUUGAGAUGGAGCAACUCGAACUGGACCCCGCAAUCAAGGCAGAGGAUGGAUAUCCUAAAAUAUCUGCUAGAAGGACCAAGAAACUAGAGGAGAUCACGCCACCAGGGCAGUGGCAACUCCGGCAGCGAGAGGUUCAGACUGGUGGCUGGAAGAAAUACGGGAACCCAUUGGUGGCGAGUAGCAGUGAAUAUUCAGGAACAUCUGUAGAUUGGUGGCUGUGUUCAGCAAUAAGUCUCCCCUCAGGGCUCCUGGCGUGAGUAAAGGCAGGUGGAUCUGGCCUUCCAGGGGAAGCCCACAUCUGCUCACAC